rnacentral:rRNA from 1 species
UACGUAGGGGGCGAGCGUUGUCCGGAUUUAUUGGGCGUAAAGAGCGUGUAGGCGGCCAGGUAGGUCUGCUGUGAAAACUCGAGGCUCAACCUCGAGACGUCGGCGGAAACCAUCUGGCUAGAGUCCGGAAGAGGAGAGUGGAAUUCCUGGUGUAGCGGUGAAAUGCGCAGAUAUCAGGAGGAACACCGGUGGCGAAGGCGGGUCUCUGGGCGAGUGAACUGACGCUGGAGGAGCGAAAGCGUGGGGAGCGAACAGG